rnacentral:rRNA from 1 species
UACGUAGGGUGCGAGCGUUAAUCGGAAUUACUGGGCGUAAAGCGUGCGCAGGCGGUGGCUCAAGCCAGGCGUGAAAUCCCCGGGCUUAACCUGGGAAUGGCGUUUGGGACUGGGUCGCUAGAGUGUGGCAGAGGGGGGUGGAAUUCCACGUGUAGCAGUGAAAUGCGUAGAGAUGUGGAGGAACACCGAUGGCGAAGGCAGCCCCCUGGGCUAACACUGACGCUCAUGCACGAAAGCGUGGGGAGCAAACAGG